GGAUGUGAGGGCGAUCUGGCUGCGACAUCUGUCACCCCAUUGAUCGCCAGGGUUGAUUCGGCUGAUCUGGCUGGCUAGGCGGGUGUCCCCUUCCUCCCUCACCGCUCCAUGUGCGUCCCUCCCGAAGCUGCGCGCUCGGUCGAAGAGGACGACCUUCCCCGAUAGAGGAGGACCGUUCUUCGGUCAAGGGUAUAUGAGUAGCUGCGCUCCCCUGCUAGAACCUCCAAACAAGCUCUCAAGGUCCAUUUGUAGGAGAACGUAGGGUAGUCAAGCUUCAAAGACUCCAGACACAUCCAAAUGAGGCGCUGCACGUGGCAGUCUGCCUUUCUUA
rnacentral:snRNA from 1 species